rnacentral:lncRNA from 1 species
GUUUAGACCCCACCUGAGGAGCUGUACAUAACAAAAGCCCUCAAUGCCACUAAACCAAUGGGAGAGGGGGUCACUUGCAUGAGUGCUGUAAUCGGACAAACAUUCAGGGCGUGGUGAACUGGGGUUCCUGACAUCCUAAAGCAAAUAAGCAAAUGACAUUUGUUCUUUUCCAAGUCCCGAGGUUUUAUGUGCUCCAACUAUAGAUGACAAAAUAGUUCCAGGAGAGCUGCAGUGUUUUGUUCUCCCUGCCAAUUCAUUAGCAACAGAACCGUUGCCGGGCUCUAAUCCAGCCCGGCUGACAGCAGUUCCCCAGUAAAGGAAGGACAGAACUGGAGCUGUCUGUGCAGCCAACAGGGAUCAGGAGUGCUCAGAUGUACUGACACGUUGGCAAAAAAAAAAAAAAAAAAAAAAGAAUUAAAGAAAGAAAAGAAACUUACAAAAGUUUAUUGAACUGAGAAGUUCACCCGGUUUCUUCAAGGAACUCAGACAGGAAGGUAGGAAGGAGGGGCCCCCGGCAUGGUGAUAACACAAAUUAGGGGCUGGCCAGCAUCAUCUUUGGUGAAAAUUUAGAAAAAUUGGGAUUUUCUUACCUAUAAAUAAAAACUGUUGGUUUUAGAAACCUAAACUAAGAGUAUGUGUGCAAAAGGAAAUCUAUAUAAGGAAGCAGGGCUGGACUGUAGUUACAGGAGGCCCAGGAACAGCCCACUUCCUUUCUUUGUGCCUUUUUAAAUCAUCUCUAAAUGUGGAGAUGGUAAUACAAUUGCACUCUUCUCGACUUAAAAAUACUUUUCUUCUAAAUCACCUGACACAUCUUUUUUUGCCCCUGCAUGGUGCUCAUAGCCAGUAAGAGAUCUUUCAGAGCCUCUUUAUCAGUCUAGUAGAUCUUGCUGGAAGCCGCCAGCACUCCAGAUGCUGAAUGCAGUCAGACUACAGCUCAAGCACUGACCCUGACCAUCCUCCUGGUCUUAAGAAUGUGCCAAACCUUUAUGUUCGAGCUGCUUUAUUAGGAACUUCUUGAGCUUUCUUUCCAUGCAAUUUCUCCAUUCCUACUUUAAACUUUUCCACCCAGCUUUUAUGAUAAUAAUGAGCGAGGCUUGGAUGCUGCUUUAUGGCUUUUGAAAAGCCUGGAUAGUAUAUGAGUGUGUCCAUAUCUUACUUUUUGUUUCUACCAUGUGCAGCAGUGCGGGGGAAGUAAAAAAGCCAUUCUUGUGGCCCCCUCCCGGCUUCCUGGAAGCUGCAGUGUGCCUGAUGGGACAGGCAUGUUCCUGGCUACACUGUAGCUGAGCAAAAGGUCUCUGCAUACAGAAGACCAGGAGACCAUAAGUUCACCAUCAAAGAAAAGUCUGCAGCUGGUAGGUUGAGCCUGAAUAAUAAUACAUGCCACAACUCACUGCUGUUCAACUCAUUCCUCAGCUGGGUUCACUGACUUGUGUACCUCAAAAUGCUAUGUUUUGCUGUCUCUUCCCGUCUAUACUCUGAGAUACUAACUCUUGAAUCCUCCCAGUUAAAUAGGAGUCUUGGAUACUAAACCUGGCCAUUUAGAAAUCACAUCCAUUUAUUUGUUCCUGUAGUCAUUAAUUCAUUCAGAAGCAAGGAUUGGAUGUCUCCCAUCUACCAAGCACAGGACUCAGCCAUAGGGAUGCACAGAAUAACAGGAAAGGCUUUUCCUGCCUCAGAGGAACUCCUGGCCAAUGGUCUCCUCUGACGCAUGAAGGCUUCUGGACUUGGAUUUUCAUUUUGAGUUUUUGAACUUGUAGUACCCAUGCGUCCUUUUCAAGGAAGAACUUGACUUCCUUGCUAACGCAGAGCAUAGAUGUCUGCCAAAU